rnacentral:rRNA from 1 species
UACGGGGGGGGCAAGCGUUGUUCGGAAUUACUGGGCGUAAAGGGCUCGUAGGCGGCCAACUAAGUCGGAUGUGAAAUCCCCAGGCUUAACCUGGGAACUGCAUCCGAUACUGGAUGGCUUGAAUCCGGGAGAGGGAUGCGGAAUUCCAGGUGUAGCGGUGAAAUGCGCAGAUAUCAGGAGGAACACCGGUGGCGAAGGCGGAUCUCUGGGCCAUUACUGACGCUGAGGAGCGAAAGCGUGGGGAGCGAACAGGA